rnacentral:rRNA from 1 species
CCCUUAGAUGUUCUGGGCCGCACGCGCGCUACACUGAUGCAUUCAACGAGUAAUCUUUGACCUUGGUCGACAGAUCUGGGUAAUCUUUUGAAAUUGCAUCGUGAUGGGGCUUGCGGGUUGCAAUUACCCGCACCAACGAGGAAUUCCUAGUAAACGCAAGUCAUCAACUUGCAUUGAUUACGUCCCUGCCCUUUGUACACACCGCCCGUCGCUCCUACUAAUUGAGUGUGUUGGUGAGGAGUUCGGAUUGGCUCUUAGUGGUGGUUCGCCACCACCUAGAGCUGAGAAGUUCUCCAAACCGCCCCACUUAGAGGAAGGAGAAGUCGUAACA